GGACAAACUGCUGUGGGCAGAAAGGGCUGCACUGGGGUUGUGAUGCAAAGUGUCAUCAUCAAGACAGCUGAGCUCCCAGGCGAAGGUCACUCUGUCUCAAGGACUUGUCAAUGGGCUCAUGGAACUGGACAGUGUGUUCUAUCCUGACCAGAAGGAAACUGAAAACAGGGCCAGGAAGCCCUGCAGGGGGCGCGCUUGCACAGAUACCGCUCCCCCAGGCCUGCCUAACCAGCCGGAGGAAGGAAGGGAAAGAAUGAAGAUCUCUCCCUACCCCUGCAGCAGUGCACUCCCCACCACCGGCAGCCAGUGACAAGCCACCACACCC